UUUUUUUUUUCUUUUUUUUUUCAUUUUGUUCGAUUUUUAAAUUUGUCAGUAAAUGUUGAUCUAUAAUUUCGCCAUUUCUUUUAUUCCAUGGUAGUUUGGCAAAAUUCUUUUAGUUUAAUUGAUAUUGAUUAUGUAUCUUCUAUAAAAUCGUAUACGUAUGUAUAUAAAUAUAAUAUAUUUAUAUACAUUUGUGUCCGAUUUAUCCGAGUCUGAGUUAUUAGGUCAAAGAUGCAAUUCUGGGUUUUGCAAAAUUUGGUUCACAGUAUAGUUUUUAUUCUUUAGGGUGAAAUUUUUAAGGGUAUCUAUAGUAUCUGAUAUUCACACGGUACGAUACAUUGACUAUUUCCAAAUCUCAUUCACUACAUUCAAUCCUGUUACAAAAAUUGAUGAGUCAAAAGCAAUCAACCAACUAGCAAAUCAAAUCAGGCAGGUUAAUUUCCAGCAAUUUAUAAUGAUUGUAAAUUCACUCUUAUUCUCACUUUAGUCUCAUAAGGCUGAAGCUGGCAACCGGAGUUAGCAGCAAAAUUUAUUAAACUUUUUGGAAAUAGAAAAAUGCAGUUCAGUUUUAUACUUAUAAUUCUACAAAAGUAUUGGGGAUUCGAGAUAUUUCACAAAAUUUUGAUUUUUGGACUUCAUUACCUUAUGCGAAUAAAUAACAAAACGUUUGGCUGUUAAUUCUGGUUGCUAACUUCAGCCUCGUUUUAAUCUCAAUGAAUUAUUUGCAGGUCAGUGAAUGAAAUUAUUUGCUUUUUUAGCCUUGAAAUGGUACUAAUUUUGUCAUUUCAAUGAUUCACGAUACCGAUGAAUUUAUAAUGAAUUGAAGUAUUUAAUUUCGUGUUAUUUAUCUUUCUCAGUUGCUGGGAAUUUACUUGACAUUGUGGAAAAAUGACUGUACCAAUUAUUUUUGAAAAAAUGUUGGUACAGUCAUUUCUUAUCCAAUUCUAUGAAUCACGAAAAGAAAGAAUAGCAGCACAAGAUUAUUUGGCUAAUUAAGUAAAGAGACAAAUGAUUUGUUCUCUGUUUCAAGUCGAUCAGAGACUUUAAUUCCCCCCACUAGUCGAAAGAAACGAAUAUUAUUGAUUUACCAUUGUGUAAAUAGCGAUGCAAACGAAUGCGCACGUAUGUCAACAAUUAACUAAAAUAAUGUAAUCAAAGAGAAGUAAUGAAAAGAGACAAUUUUUUAAAAAUUUCUAUUUUCACCGAAGUGAUUGCUAUGUCAAUGAGCGCAUCAGGUACACAAAGAAAGUGUUGGUAUCAACGAUAAUUUGGGGUUGAAUAUUGUUGCUCUAUUUCUUCGCUGCAAUGGUAUUGUUUUGUAAGCUGUUGAAUGAACAAUGAUGCUGUAACUAGUUAGCAAGUGAUACCUGACUCAGAUUAAAAAAUCGCAAAGUUUCAUAUUUUCGUUUCAAAUUAUUCCAGUAACAACUCAAAAUUGGCAAAAUAGAAUUAACACAUUAUUUAGAGAACUUUGUAAUUAUCUGCCGAUUAAUUCUUGAUAUCAGUGGGUCUCACCUUCUGCCUACCAUUUGCUAGCUUCAGCAUCGUCAAUGAACAAGGAGUAUUAACUCUUAGACUGCCGUAAAGUCUAAAUAUAGUCUCUGCCGGCAGUCUAAAGGUUAAAACUGAGCAAAAUGAUACAAAGGAAACAAUUCUCACUAAACUGUAUAACGUACUAAAAUUUGAACAAACGGUGUUCAAUGUGCAGGGACAGAUUUUGCCCACUGCAUGUGUAAUAGAAGUGAUUCUCAGGCCCCAUUGUUCAAUCGUACCCAACACUUGGUCCCCGAUAUACACUUGGCCAAGGUCUAUUGAAUCACGAUCAAAUGAGAAAAUUAGCUGUGAUGAUGACCCUAUAGGUACUACUAAUUUUUAAUUGAUAACAGAUCGAUUUAGUAACAAAAGUAAUUAAGUAUGUAUGUAUAAUGAUAAUAAUUUUAAUAUUUGGAUAUAAGGUGAUGAUGAUGAUUUCUGUGCGUGUUCUAAUCGCUAAAGGCGCACUACGGAGUGUGCGAAUGUUGAAAAGGAGAGUUUAAGCUGUAAUAAUGAACUAGCGGAUAAUAAUUGGCUGUAUUUAUGUGAAGGGAAGCUGGCAGACAAUUUUUACAUCACUGGUAAGCUUUCUUUUUCAUAAUUACAUCCAAAUUGCUAUAGGUUUAUAUGCAUUGGUAAGCUCUGGGCCAUUACACCAUACAAGUGCGACUACAAUAUUGGUUCCAAAAAAUAAUUACGAUGACAACAAGUGUUCAUUCUUAAUUUGCACAUAUAUAUUUAUCGAAACUUAUGAUCGAAUCGAUAUGAUUUACAAAUUAGUCAAACAGCUAUAACUUCAGUAGUCUUGGAUUCUCUUAUUUACUUAUUGGAUGGAAAUUUUUGAUUGAGUCAACAUAUAAAUUAUGCUCUUGCGUCAUUCUGAUGAGGUUCAAAAGUGGAUUCUUAACAACAUUAAAACUUAUUUAAACACUUGAUGUAGGAUCUGAGAAUUGUUGGACAUGGAUAUAAUGUGAGAGAUUAUACACGGACCAUGUAAAUCACAUUGAAUGCUGUUGUACUAUGUAUUAUAGCUACGUCUUUCAAACUUUCCUACAAUGAAUUUAAAUUAUUAAUUCAAGACUAUUGGUGUUUUUGUUUGAAAUCGAAUAAUUUUCCGUGAAUAAUAAAAGAAAAAAGGUAACAUGAAAUCGUAGGUCUAGCACUGUAACAAACUAAGGUCCAGUUUGCAAAGCCAAUAUUAAUGUGAUAUUGUGACGUACAAACAAUUCAUUGCAAUGAACUCGAAACUGCAGGAGAAUCACAAUCAACACGCCGUGAAUCUCUUGUUAAUUGUCACUAGCCCCUACUUCAAGCUGUAAUUUUUAGUAUUAUUGAGAAUGAAACGACGAAAGUGUUAAAAUGCAUCGAAAGUUUUUUGAUCUUUCAAGCAUACCAGAACCAAUAGUCAGAUUCAAUAUAUCUUUGAAUUAUUGAUCACUUUUCAAUGGGUACGAAUAUGUGGUAGAAAUUGAAUGUAAAUUUAUGAAGGCCGAAAAACAAAUCAAGUACUUUUUCGCUUGCAAAGUUCUGUUUUUAAUGACAUGAUUCGCAGACUUAUUUGCCAAAUUCAACCAUACCAGGUGCUGAGUUACCGUCAAAGUAGCACUGUAUUAUCAAUAGUUUGAGCUAAUAACAAUCAGUCAUCGGCUGUUUGCGAUGAGACUGGUGCUAUUUUGUCGUUAACUUUGGCAUUAGCAUUAGCAAGUUAGUCCAUGAUGUCCAAUAUUAAUUAUAAUGUUUUAAAUGUUUUCCGAAAAUAUGUCUUGAUUAUGUUACAGAAUCAUAGAAAUAUGGGUAGGUCAAAGCUGUAUUUACUUUAAAAACGGUGCGCUCAAUGGGGGUUUGUGACGAUACUACAAUAUCAUAUCAUUCUAAUCUAUAAACGUGUUUUGAGUUUAUAGUGGAAUGACGAAUAAAUGAUUGUUUUUUUUUUUUUUUUUUCUCCAUUUCUCCUUUCUUUCAAUACCAACUUUACACAUACCUCUUGCAACUCUGUAUGUCGACUGUUGUCAACGACAAAAUUGCUUUGUUCUUUUUAAAUUUGUACCAGGGCUCAGAUUUUGAACAGCUUUAUUUUAAUGUAAUGUAUCGGAAACUGUGAACUGCGGAAGUAGACGAUUUGAGAAAAAAAUAUGAUUAGUUAUGGUGUAAUGAAAAUAGACGUGCUGAUUUCAAUUCGUGAGACUGGCGCGAUGAAUAACAAACAUUCGAUGUAUCUUCAUAAAUUAUAAAUUUGCAUAUCUAUGCGCAGCGACUAUUUGUUCAAGCGACAGUACUGUAUUCAUCACAUUAGGUGGAAAGACAAACCAAAGUCCAUGUUCAGUUUUGUACUCAUCAGCCGGUUAAACUCAAAACAUGUUUUCAUAUAACCAAAAAAUAAAAAUAAAAUUCAAAUAUGAUACGAUCAGGAACGCUGAUUUGCAAAACUGAAUGUGGGCCAACAUUCUCUCACAAUACACUGGUUAUUAUAUAAGCAUUAAAUUUAGGUUAAGUUUGAGGUAAAACUAUGGUUUUAGAUGCAGAACAACAUUUCCAACAAAAUGUAUUAAUAUAUAUGUAUAUGUAUCGAGGGUGUUGAAUGUUCCAAAACUGAAUUCUGAAAAUGACUCGUGUAUGCGUAAGAGAUUUUAUGGGAGGAAAAUCUUCGAAACAAUUUGGCCAUUCUAUAGUAUAUUUAUUUUUAACUACGUUUUUUCCUUGAAUUAGUAGUAUUUUAUUCGCUUUUAGAUUUUGUGUGCAAAUGCAUAGUUUAAAACGUUGCUGCGUUAAGGACAAGUCAACCAAAAUACCAGUUUUUAUUAGGCAUUACGUAUAAAAUAACUAAGUUUAUGUAAAUGGACAUGUCUAUGGUUAAUUGUAAGAUUGAGGAGCUUUAAGUAAAGUGGAACAAGGGUUUCUUGCCUGCUGCGCAAUAGGCAAUGUACUGAUUAUUUUAAUAAUUAAGAUUUGAUUGUGUAACAUAUAUAUAUAUAAUAUCUAUAUAUACAUUGAAAUAUAUAUUAUAUAUAUUUACAUACAUGUUAUAUCGCGUUCUUGUGUGAAGACGUUAUCUUGAAACAUUUAGAGAAUAUAUCCAAGAAAAUACAGUAAAAAUAUAGAUGAGUCAUAGCUUACAUUAUGAAUUUAAUAUGGUUCAUUCUGUGCUAUAUACAUGAGUACAUACAACACUUAGCUAAGUUUUUUUAACAGAUUAUUACACGAUUAAACCAUUUUUGUUAUUAUGGUUUUUUCCCCCCUUAAGAAAACGUCAUUGUACAGAGCAUUGUUUGAGUAAGCGUUGUAAAAAGUGAAAUGAAUAGGAAAGAAAGAAAGUUCAUUUUUCCCAUGGGAAUAAUACAGUCGUAACAUAUUUUAAGUCAGUUUAUAUUGCAACCUUUUGUUUUGAACUUAUAUUUCCUGUGACUGUUUAUUUUUAAUCACGGUCUUUAUGUCGAAGUACUUGGGUAUUAAACGAACAAAAUUCUGUAUGUAUUAUAUAUAUAUAUAUAUAUGUAUGUAUGCGUAUACACGUGGAUUUGUAAAACCAAAUUUGUAAAGCAAGAUUAUCGAGACAAGAACCUGCAAGGAAGAAAAAAAAAAGUAACGAAGAAAAGCAAAACAUGGAAUGAGUACACGAGUGAUAAAAAUGCUCAUGGAGAGGUUUGUUAUGCGUAAGUAUGCGAGCCCCUAGCGCAUCGGAUUGUUUUGAGAGUAAAACAGUACUUCUGUGUUUGCGCCGCCCAUGCUUUACAUGGAUAUUUUAAAGUCUGCGUUUUGAGCAUACAUUUGAUUUGAUACACCAUUCGUUUAAUCAAAUCUACAUUGGAAUACCACAAGCUUUCUAAUAAACUGCAAUAUUGGAUGACUUGACUAGGAAUAUCCAGAUUUCGUCAAUAUGGACUUCAAAACAUCAAGAACAUUAACGAAAAUUCUUAUGUUGUACCUUACGUAACAAUAUUUACAUUGAAGAAUUGAAUUAUGCAUGAAGAUGAAUGAAGAAUAUCCUUUGUACAAUUGGAAUACCAUCUCAAAAAUUUGUAAACUUAGCUAUUCAAAAGAUCAUUCACCGAAACUGACCCGUCAUGUUUUAGAACAGUUUUAUAAAGGUAGGAUGUAUUUCUACCAUUUAGUUGAAUUCUGCAACGGUGAAUAAAUAUCAAUAAAAGUCAUAAGAGAAAGUUGUAUCAUAGACGUAAGACAAUGUUUUGUACAAGACUGCUGAACCAAAAGUAUUUUUACCAGAAAAAUUGGAAAAUAGAACGAAUACUCCCUGGAAGUUUAAAGAUAGGAAAUAUUUUAUAAUAUAAAUAAUACUAAAAUCUAAGUAUUUCAUUGAUAUGCCACAACGUUCCACACACUGCCAUAAAGCAGCAGGCAGGCAAGACAGAUCUACAGCACGUUUUAAUCAACGCAAAGUGUAACACACAGUGCAUUUAAGAAAUCAUGUACAAAAUUAUUCAUCAUUUUCAACGAAUCAUCUCGAAGAAUGAAGUGGAUUGGAGAGCAGAUAGAUUACGAGAGACAAUUUCCAGAAUUCAGCAUUGAACCAAGAAGUGUGAUCCAAAAAGCUGUAAUUCUAGGAUCCAUGGGUUACAACGUGAGGCACCUGAUGUAUUUCUGUAAAAUAUAUGUGAAAAAAAGAGGAAGGAAAGAAGUGAAAAACAAGAGUGUUUAACAAAAUCAAUAUGCGCCUAGAUUCGUGGGAUUCGCAAACAUAUAUAAAAAAAGCAGUCCCACGUCUAAAAGUGUUAACACUGAACACUUUUCAAAAGGCCACUUACGAUGACACUUUCUAAGAAAAAUACAGAAAAAAUGGCUUUGAAAAGCAACAAAAAAAUAAAAAUAAAAAAAAUUGUAAAAUAAGAAAUGUGUAAUAGGUCAAGUGAACCAUCAAAAGCAGCAAGUGUCUUCCAUCGACGUGCAAUAUUAAAUCAUUAUUCCACAAAAUUCAAGUUACUGCUCUACAACUUGCUGCUGUCAUGUAACUGAAACUAUCGUAAAUGGAAAACCACUCAAGUUUUGCAGUAUACUCAAAAAUCGUUGAACAUCGCUGAUCAAAACAUUAUACGUACUUGAAAUCGCAGUGCGAUAUGUGAUAUGUGAAUGCUAUAUGAGCAUUGAUCUUGAAUCAAUGGUAUUGUAAAAAAAAUACAAUGAUAAAGCAAAUUAUUCGGAAGACCCAAACUAAAACCUACACAAAUCCAAAAUAAGCUUUCAUUUUAAAACUGCGUUAAAUCUCUGAGAGGAUGACAUUUAAGAAAAAAAAUGUUACAUCACACAUUUUGAAAAAAUAAGCAUAAGUUUUUACGAAUAUCUACAUGUGAAAAUGAAACAUCGAACACUCCUCCCUUCACCAUUUACGACAAAUGUGAUGUUGAAGAUUGAGCAACUGCAUUUUGAAGAUUCAUUAAUUAUACAUCCCGCCAUGAGAUACAUGAUUCAUAGAUACAAAAACAAUCUGAUUACCCAAAGACAAAUCACAUUUUUACAAUAUCUGCCUAGUACCUAUUAUCACUUAACCAAAUAACUGAUAACCACAUUGUUCAUUACAAGCAUCCACUACAAAUAUUCUAAACCCCCCUCCCCGAAAAUUUCCCAAAACUAUCGAAAAAUUGUAAAACCCAUUUAAGUUUGGAACCUUUGUUACUUCACUUAUCCCAUGAAAUCCCUCUGCAUCCUAUUUCCUUCAGGGCCCUUUUCAGGGCCCGCAAAUGAUUCUAUGCAAAGAACAAUCGCAACUAUCACGUUGUGUGACCCGCACAUAAGUGCAAAAUCUGUCCUUUUAAGGACAAUUCUACACAUCUGUUUGGAAUACACAAACGAAAUUCAUCCAAUUUUGGACUUCAUGUGAAGGAAGAGAGGCAACGCUGAAGGAAGACUAACCGAUGGCCUGGUGUUUUCUUGUCUAACAAUAAAAACUUGUCGAACUUGAGACCUGGUCCACAAAACUUUACUUCAACCGAGUGAUUGGUGUUUCUACCUUCAUGUUUCGAAAGAAGGGCGCAUCCUAAUCUUCCGUUAGUUUCUUAAAAUUGGAGUAUUUAUCGAUAUAAUUGCAUAGGGAGUUGGAACCUGUUUGAAACUUCCAGUUCCUACUACAUACAUCGUCAAUGGCUACAAGAAGACUCGUAUACAGCAGAGAAUGUGUGGACUUUGCAAGCAGCUGAGCCAUUGCGAAACGACGCAAAACUUGGAUCUACGUGUAUGCUUUUCGCAUAUAAAAUGGUUGUAAAUAUAUUUGGUCGGAGCAAUAAGAGUAAAUGUUUUUAUAAAAACAUUCAGAAACAAAAAAUAUACGAUGGUAAUAAAUUCACCCAAAACUUG